rnacentral:rRNA from 1 species
AUUGAACGCUGGCGGCAGGCUUAACACAAGCAAGUCGAGCGAGCGGCGGACGGGUGAGUAAUGUCUGGGAAACUGCCUGAUGGAGGGGGAUAACUACUGGAAACGGUAGCUAAUACCGCAUACCAUCAGAUGUGCCCAGAUGGGAUUAGCUAGUAGGUGGGGUACUGGCUCACCUAGGCGACGAUCCCUAGCUGGUCUGAUGGGAUGACCAGACAAACUGGAACUGAGACACGGUCCAGACUCCUACGGGAGGCAGGAGUGGGAAAUAUUGCACAAUGGGCGCAAGGCUGAUGAAGCCAUGCAGCGUGUGUGCAGAAGGCCUUCGGGUUUUAAAGCACUUUCAGCGAGGAGGCGUUACUCGCAGAAGAAGCACCGGCUAACUCCGUGCCAGCAGCCGCGGUAAUAC